AAUUAUCCAAUGAGGUUAGGCGGUGAGAUUAGUGGUUCGUUGCUCCAAUUAGAACAUUUGAAUUACUUGAAUUUGAGUUACAAUGACUUUAAUUGUACUCCGAUCCCAUCUUUCCUUGGUUCAAUGUACAGUCUCACACAUCUUGAUCUCUCAGGCGCUAACUUCUGUGGACUCAUUCCUCAUCAGCUUGGGAACCUUUCAAGCCUUCGCUAUCUGUCUCUUGGAAAUAAUUCUGACCUUUAUGUAGAUAACCUUCGUUGGAUGUUUGGUCUCUCUGCCAUUCAAUACCUUGAACUAAGUGAUGCUGACCUUCACAGAGAAGUUGAUUGGCUUCAAAUAAUGAGUAAGUUCCCAUCUCUUUCACAGCUAUACUUGGAAAAUUGUCAGCUUGAUAGCCUGAAUCCAUCCCUUGGAUUUGUCAAUUUCACGUCUCUUCAAUUCCUUCAUCUUUCUGGAAAUCAUUUCAAUCAUGAGAUACCUAAUUGGUUCUCUAAUCUCAGUACAAGCCUCUUAGGGCUUGCUCUGUUCAACAAUUCUUUCAAAGGCAAUAUACCGCCUAGCAUUUUCAAUUUAGAGAAAUUAGAAUAUCUAUCCUUGUGUCUCAAUAAGCUAACUGAACAAAUUCUAGAGCCGUUAGGCCAACUUAAGCAUCUAACAUAUCUUGAUCUCGGAAUUAAUUCUUUAAAUGGUCCUAUACCUUCUUCCUUUGGGAAUUUAUCUCGUAUGAGAAUAUUAUGCCUCAACCAAAAUCAGUUGAAUGGCACCAUUCCAAACAGUCUUUGGCUUCUCUCUGAGUUAGAGAUGUUGUAUGUCGGAAAAAAUUCUUUAACAGGUACCGUAGAUGAAGGGCAUUUCCAAAGACUCUCAAAAUUAAAGCAUCUCUAUAUGUCUAAAACACGUUUGUUCUUUAAUGUCAAUUCCAAUUGGGAUCCCCCCUUCCAACUUGACUAUGCCUCCAUCAGCUCAAUCAAGAUAGGUCCUAAAUUUCCUUCAUGGCUACAAUCACAAAGAUCCCUCAGUUUUUUAGAUAUGUCCAUGUCAGGAAUUUCAGGCAAAGCUCCAGGUUGGUUCUGGAAUUGGACUUCAAACAUUACAGUUAUCAAUCUCUCUAACAACCACAUAGAAUGUGAUGUAUCAGACAUUUUUUUGAGUUCUACUGUCAAAGUGCUCAAUAUAGCUAACAACUCAUUUUAUGGACCCAUUUCUACUUUCUUAUGCCAAAAGAAUAUUAGAAAGAAUAAAUUAGAGGUUUUAGACGCAUCAAACAAUCUCUUAUCAGGAGAACUUUCUCACUGCUGGAAGUAUUGGCAGUCUUUGAUCCAUUUAAACUUAGGGAGCAAUAAUCUAGUAGGUAGAAUUCCCUACUCCAUGGGGGCUUUAGUUAACCUCCAAUCAUUGCGUUUACAAAACAAUAGCAUCUAUGGAGAUAUUCCUUCAUCAUUGAAAAAGUGCUCAAAUCUGAGUCUCAUUGAUAUGGGUGAAAAUCAUUUGUCCAUCAUACCACUAUGGAUUGGAGAAAUGACAAAUCUUACAGUUCUCCGUCUAAGAUCAAGUGAAUUCAAGGGUUAUAUACCUCAACAAAUAUGCCAACUUUCUUCUCUUAGAGUAUUGAAUCUUGCCAAUAAUAGCCUAUCAGGAUCUAUACCAAACUGCUUGAAAAAUAUUAGUGCCAUGGCAUUACCAGAUCCCGAUGUUAUUUCUUCUGAUGUUAUUUCAUUUUAUUAUAUGCCUUAUACAUGUUCGUAUAUACAUUUAUGCUAUAUUGAGCAUGUUCAGUUGGUUCCCAAAGGGAAAGAAAUGGAAUACAAAGAGAACCUUAAAUUAGUUAGGCUCAUAGACCUUUCAAGUAACAACUUGUCUGGAUCAAUCCUUGCUGAAAUUUCUGAUCUUUCCAAAUUACGUUUUUUGAAUUUGUCUCGAAAUCAUUUGAUGGGAAAGAUACCAGAAAAAAUUGGGAGUAUGAAAGAGUUAGAGUCAAUUGAUCUCUCACAAAAUCAUUUAUCUGGUGAAAUUCCUCCAAGCAUGUCUGAUAUGACAUUUCUUAGUCUCUUGGAUUUGUCAUACAACAACCUCUCGGGUAGAAUUCCUUCAAGUACUCAGCUUCAAUCAUUUGAUGCCCAGAGUUACAUUGGAAAUCCUCAGUUAUGUGGUGAUCCUCUUCCAAAAAGCUGCACAAUUGAGGAACAAUCUUUGAAUAGAUCACCAAUUGGCAAUGUUGAAGAUGAUUCUAAAAACUCCAGCUUCUACAUUGGUAUGGGAGUUGGAUUUGCAACUGGCUUUUGGGCAAUUUGCGGAGCUCUCUUCUUUAAUAGGACUUGGAGGCAUGCUUAUUUUAGAUUUGCCGAUGAAAUAAAAGAUUGGAUUUAUGUGACUGCAAUGAGAAAGAUGAAUUUAUUGGAAAAGCUAAGAGUCCACCUUAGUAAGUGAGGCAUCGUUAUCUAGCCAAAAGGCUGUGAAAACUAUUGCAAUCCAAGACAUUUACAAGUUGAAGCAGACAUAAAUAAAUUGUUUCUAUAUGACAGCAUUUAUUUGAUGGGAAUAUGCUACAAGGAAGCUAAGUAGGCUGGUGCGCUACUAGAGGUGCCAAGUGAACCAUAGAAGUUCUUCCAGCAAUGAUUUCCUUGGGGAGCUCACUUGGGGGCAUCUCAUGGAUUUGUUAAGAACUUUAUUUGGGUUCUUACUGCCUUUAAAGAACAAUUGUAGAUGGUGUAAACCUAUUCUUCCUAUGUGCUUUCUACCUAUUUUUGACCAUAGCUAUCAUAGGAAAAUGUUCUACAAGAAGUAGUAGAAAAGAUUGCGUCUUGGUGGUAGUUUCACUGUGUUGUGCUCUUUGUAGCAUUGGUUAUUUAUUUAUGGGUUUAUGGAAUCUAAUGGCCAAAAAUGAUGAAUUCAAUCAUAUGAGCUGGUUGGUUUACUUUGUUAGAGGACUGGUUUAAAUCUCUUUUACACUUUCCUUGCUUUCUCAAUGGUCCAAAUUGAUCAGUCUUCUAAACUCUUUUUGGUGGGCAUUCUCUUUUGUAUUGAUUUCAAUUCUGAAUGUCCAAAUUCUACUAAGAACAUAUAGCAUUGAAAUUUAGUGGCAGUCUACCAAAAGCAGUUAAAGCUUUCUAGCUUAGGAAGGAGAAGGCACUCAACUGGGGAGAUAGUGAAUUAUAUUGCAGUUGAUGCUUAUAGAAUGGGUGAAUUUCCAUGGUGGUUCCAUUCAUCAUGGAGCUUUGUACUGCAACUUUUCCUAGCCAUUGGCAUUCUUUUAUGGGUUGUGGGUCUUGGUGCACUUAUAGGUCUAGUUCCUCUUCUCGUAUGUGGACUCCUUAACGUGCAUGCCUUUCGCAAUUAUGCUACAGAAGUGUCAAACUCAGUUUAUGAUUGCCCAAGAUGAAAGAUUGAGAUCCACUUCCGAGAUCCUAAACAGUAUGAAGAUCAUAAAGUUGCAAUCAUGGGAAGAUAAAUUUAAGAAUUUGAUUGAAUCUGUCUGCAAAAAUGAGUUCAAAUGGUUGGCUGAAACUCAGUUUGCAAAGGCUUAUGGCACAUUGUUGUAUUGGAUGUCUCCAACCAUCAUUUCUUCAGUGGUCUUCUUGGGAUGUAUUAUUUUUGGAAGUGCCCCUCUAAAUGCUAGCAUCAUCUUCACAGUCCUUGCAUCAUUGAGGAGUAUGGGAGAUCCUGUGAGAAUGAUACCAGAAGCUCUUUCUUCUUUGGUCCAAGUGAAGAUAUCUUUCGAUCGUCUCAAUGCUUUUCUGCUUGAUGAUGAGCUGAAAAAUGAAGAAUUAAGGAGAAUCCCCUUUCAGAAGUCGGAUAAGAGUGUAAAGAUACAAUCAGGCAAUUUCAGUUGGGAUCCUGAAAUAAUGAUUCCCACUCUAAGAGAUGUGAACUUGGAAAUGAGAUGUGGGCAGAAAGUUGCUGUUUGUGGUCCAGUUGGGGCUGGGAAAUCAUCACUUCCCCAUGCUGUACUAAUGGAGAUGCCAAAAAUUUCUGGAACAGUUAAUGCAUUUGGAUCCAUUGCCUAUGUUUCUCAAACUUCUUGGAUCCAAGGUGGGACUAUUUGCGAUAACAUAUUAUAUGGAAAUCCUAUGGACAAGACCAAAUAUGAGAAGGCCAUAAAAGCAUGUGCUUUGGACAAGGACAUCAAUAAUUUCAACAAUGGUGUUCUCACAGAAAUAGGUCAGAGAGGGCUUAACAUGAGUGGAGGACAGAAACAAAGGAUUCAACUAGCUCGAGCUGUCUAUAACGAUGCUGAUAUCUAUCUCCUUGGGGAUCCAUUCAGUGCAGUAGAUGCUCAUACAGCUUAAAUUUUAUUUAAUGAUUGUGUCAUGG